rnacentral:rRNA from 1 species
GACGAACGUUUUCGGCGGGCUUAACACAUGCAAGUCGAACGGAAAGGCCCUGCUUUUGUGGGGUGCUCGAGUGGCGAACGGGUGAGUAACACGUGAGUAACCUGCCCUUGACUUUGGGAUAACUUCAGGAAACUGGGGCUAAUACCGGAUAGGAGCUCCUGCUGCAUGGUGGGGGUUGGAAAGUUUCGGCGGUUGGGGAUGGACUCGCGGCUUAUCAGCUUGUUGGUGGGGUAGUGGCUUACCAAGGCUUUGACGGGUAGCCGGCCUGAGAGGGUGACCGGCCACAUUGGGACUGAGAUACGGCCCAGACUCCUACGGGAGGCAGCAGUGGGGAAUAUUGCACAAUGGGCGGAAGCCUGAUGCAGCAACGCCGCGUGCGGGAUGACGGCCUUCGGGUUGUAAACCGCUUUCGCCUGUGACGAAGCGUGAGUGACGGUAAUGGGUAAAGAAGCACCGGCUAACUACGUGCCAGCAGCCGCGGUGAUACGUAGGGUGCGAGCGUUGUCCGGAUUUAUUGGGCGUAAAGGGCUCGUAGGUGGUUGAUCGCGUCGGAAGUGUAAUCUUGGGGCUUAACCCUGAGCGUGCUUUCGAUACGGGGUGACUUGAGGAAGGUAGGGGAGAAUGGGAAUCCUGGUGGAGCGGUGGAAUGCGGCAGAUAUCAGGAGGAAACCCCAGUGGCGAAGGCGGUUCUCUGGGCCUUUCCUGUCGCUGAGGAGCGAAAGCGUGGGGAGCGAACAGGCUUAGAUACCAUGGUAGUCCACGCUGUAAACGGGGGGUACUAGGUGUGGGGUCCAUUCCACGGGUUCCGUGCCGUAGCUAACGCUUUAAGUACCCCGCCUGGGGAGUACGGCCGCAAGGCUAAAACUCAAAGGAAUUGACGGGGCCCCGCACAAGCGGCGGAGCAUGCGGAUUAAUUCGAUGCAACGCGUAGAACCUUACCUGGGUUUGACAUGGAUCGGGAGUGCUCAGAGAUGGGUGUGCCUCUUUUGGGGUCGGUUCACAGGUGGUGCAUGCCUGUCGUCAGCUCGUGUCGUGAGAUGUUGGGUUAAGUCCCGCAACGAGCGCAACCCUUGUUCACUGUUGCCAGCACGUUAUGGUGGGGACUCAGUGGAGACCGCCGGGGUCAACUCGGAGGAAGGUGGGGAUGACGUCAAGUCAUCAUGCCCCUUAUGUCCAGGGCUUCACGCAUGCUACAAUGGCUGGUACAGAGAGUGGCGAGCCUGUGAGGGUGAGCGAAUCUCGGAAAGCCGGUCUCAGUUCGGAUUGGGGUCUGCAACUCGACCUCAUGAAGUCGGAGUCGCUAGUAAUCGCAGAUCAGCAACGCUGCGGUGAAUACGUUCCCGGGGCU